AGAGUUUGAUCAUGGCUCAGAUUGAACGCUGGCGGCAGGCCUAACACAUGCAAGUCGAACGGUAACAGGAAGCAGCUUGCUGCUUUGCUGACGAGUGGCGGACGGGUGAGUAAUGUCUGGGAAACUGCCUGAUGGAGGGGGAUAACUACUGGAAACGGUGGCUAAUACCGCAUAACGUCGCAAGACCAAAGAGGGGGACCUUCGGGCCUCUUGCCAUCAGAUGUGCCCAGAUGGGAUUAGCUUGUUGGUGAGGUAACGGCUCACCAAGGCGACGAUCCCUAGCUGGUCUGAGAGGAUGACCAGCCACACUGGAACUGAGACACGGUCCAGACUCCUACGGGAGGCAGCAGUGGGGAAUAUUGCACAAUGGGCGCAAGCCUGAUGCAGCCAUGCCGCGUGUAUGAAGAAGGCCUUCGGGUUGUAAAGUACUUUCAGCGGGGAGGAAGGUGUUGUGGUUAAUAACCGCAGCAAUUGACGUUACCCGCAGAAGAAGCACCGGCUAACUCCGUGCCAGCAGCCGCGGUAAUACGGAGGGUGCAAGCGUUAAUCGGAAUUACUGGGCGUAAAGCGCACGCAGGCGGUCUGUCAAGUCGGAUGUGAAAUCCCCGGGCUCAACCUGGGAACUGCAUUCGAAACUGGCAGGCUUGAGUCUUGUAGAGGGGGGUAGAAUUCCAGGUGUAGCGGUGAAAUGCGUAGAGAUCUGGAGGAAUACCGGUGGCGAAGGCGGCCCCCUGGACAAAGACUGACGCUCAGGUGCGAAAGCGUGGGGAGCAAACAGGAUUAGAUACCCUGGUAGUCCACGCCGUAAACGAUGUCUACUUGGAGGUUGUGCCCUUGAGGCGUGGCUUCCGGAGCUAACGCGUUAAGUAGACCGCCUGGGGAGUACGGCCGCAAGGUUAAAACUCAAAUGAAUUGACGGGGGCCCGCACAAGCGGUGGAGCAUGUGGUUUAAUUCGAUGCAACGCGAAGAACCUUACCUGGUCUUGACAUCCACAGAACUUUCCAGAGAUGGAUUGGUGCCUUCGGGAACUGUGAGACAGGUGCUGCAUGGCUGUCGUCAGCUCGUGUUGUGAAAUGUUGGGUUAAGUCCCGCAACGAGCGCAACCCUUAUCCUUUGUUGCCAGCGGUUAGGCCGGGAACUCAAAGGAGACUGCCAGUGAUAAACUGGAGGAAGGUGGGGAUGACGUCAAGUCAUCAUGGCCCUUACGACCAGGGCUACACACGUGCUACAAUGGCGCAUACAAAGAGAAGCGACCUCGCGAGAGCAAGCGGACCUCAUAAAGUGCGUCGUAGUCCGGAUUGGAGUCUGCAACUCGACUCCAUGAAGUCGGAAUCGCUAGUAAUCGUGGAUCAGAAUGCCACGGUGAAUACGUUCCCGGGCCUUGUACACACCGCCCGUCACACCAUGGGAGUGGGUUGCAAAAGAAGUAGGUAGCUUAACCUUCGGGAGGGCGCUUACCACUUUGUGAUUCAUGACUGGGGUGAAGUCGUAACAAGGUAACCGUAGGGGAACCUGCGGUUGGAUCACCUCCUU
rnacentral:rRNA from 2 species